rnacentral:rRNA from 1 species
GACAGAGGGGGCAAGCGUUGCUCGGAAUCACUGGGCGUAAAGGGCGCGUAGGCGGGAUGGCAAGUCGGUCGUGAAAUCUCUCGGCCUCAACCGAGAAACGUCGGCCGAUACUGCCGUUCUUGAGGGAUGCAGAGGAGACUGGAAUUUACGGUGUAGCGGUGAAAUGCGUAGAUAUCGUAAGGGAAGACCAGUGGCGAAGGCGGGUCUCUGGACAGUUCCUGACGCUGAGGCACGAAGGGUCAGGGGAGCAAACGGG